rnacentral:rRNA from 1 species
GAUGAACGCUGGCGGCGUGCUUAACACAUGCAAGUCGAACGAAGCAUUUGCGACAGAUUUUUUCGGAAUGAAGUUGCUUAUGACUGAGUGGCGGACGGGUGAGUAACGCGUGGGUAACCUACCUUGUACUGGGGGAUAGCAGCUGGAAACGGCUGGUAAUACCGCAUAAGCGCACAAUGUUGCAUGACAUGGUGUGAAAAACUCGGGUGGUAUAAGAUGGACCCGCGUCUGAUUAGCUAGUUGGUGAGAUAACAGCCCACCAAGGCGACGAUCAGUAGCCGACCUGAGAGGGUGACCGGCCACAUUGGGACUGAGCCACGGCCCAGACUCCUACGGGAGGGAGCAGUGGGGAAUAUUGCACAAUGGAGGAAACUCUGAUGCAGCGACGCCGCGUGAGUGAAGAAGUAAUUCGUUAUGUAAAGCUCUAUCAGCAGGGAAGAUAGUGACGGUACCUGACUAAGAAGCUCCGGCUAAAUACGUG